rnacentral:lncRNA from 1 species
UGUCAUCUCCUUUCAACUAUCAUUUCAUUUUCCUUUUGACGAUUUCACUUUCAAAACUAUCCUUGUAAAUCGUUUAUUUUCUUCUUGUUUUGAAAUUUCCUCUCUUUCAAUCUUCGUCUCCUGAGACUCCCCUAGUCUAGCUCGCUUACCCCAUCAUACCUUGUUUGAUCUUCAGCGUACUCAGGAACUCCCAUUUCCAGGUAUGUUUCUUCUCCUCUUUUUAAUGUUUCUGUUGCAAGAAUGUGUGCAAGGUUGUUCGCAGAUCUUGGUGUAUGUUGAAAUCUGAAAUUAUUUAGUCCAUGUGUUUUCUGUUGGAUAUCAUAAAUGUAAGCUCCUACCAUUGAUUGGUCAUGACCCUUUGUAUUACAUUUCUUGAUUAUUGCGAGGGAAUCUCCUUCAAAAAUGAGUGACUGC